UGUGCUCUGCUUUUGACUCUAGUUCUCACCUCUUUUUUACUGCUUUCUGAGACAGUUUCUCUCACUUUUCUGGUAUUUUUUAUGUCACCUAGUUUAUUUUCUAUUACUUGGAACUAAGAACUCAUACUAAUUCAGUUUGGAUUAUCUCAUCUGUUGAAAACUAUUGUCGACAUAAGGGUAUUUGGAGACUUUUUUUUGUGGUACUGGGACUUGAACUCAGAGCCUUCAUCUUGAGACACUCUGCCAGCCCUUUCGUGAUAGGUGUUUUUGAUAUAGCGUCUUGAACUAUUUGCUUGGGCUGACUUUGAACCAUGAUCCUCCUGAUCUCCACCUCCUGAGUGGCCAGGAUUACAGGCGUGAGCCACUGGCACCCAGCUAGGCCUUUAACAACUGAUCAGGUCAUGAGGUGAAGCCUGCCUAAAUUAGAUGAGAUUCCUUCAUCCCUUCUGCUUUCUAAGACUAGAGCAGCAAGAAGAUGAAGAACUAUGAAGAAAGAAGUUGACCCUCAAAAGACACCGAAUCUUCUAGGGCCAUGAUCUUGGACUUUCCAGUCUCCAGAACUGCCACAAUAAAACCUAUAUAGAAGCCAUUUUUAUCAUAAUAUAUUACCAGGUGGAGAAUUGAUAAAUACUUUCUGCAAACUGAGAAGAUCUCAAAAGUUGAAUGGAGCUUCUCAUGGAUGUACAAUGGCGGCAGCAACAACAGAAGCCUGGACUACCACACUGUUUCUUAUUGUCCAGAAUGCUACCACUUGUCUGAAUAUUGCACCUAUGGGACAAGACUAAGUUUCUGGCCAAUGCCUGCAGUUGAUCCUGAGGGACAGUAAAGUAUAAUGUGCCUAGUGACUGAAGCUUGUAUUCAUCUGCUAAUUAGUGAACUUAUCCAAUAAAUCAAUAUGGUGGAACCUAUCUUGAACCCAAUCACUGUGGCCAGUAGAAAGAGCUGUGCCAAUGGAAACUCUAGGCAAUAGCAUCAAAAUUGCAUAACCCAUAUUGAUUAUGGGUUAUUAUUAUUUGAAGGAAGCAAAAUGGAUACUGCAAAAUAAACAACUGCAGGGGAAUUUCCAGAUGUUUGUUUCCAUGAUUCAUUGGAUACAUAGAGUGUAUUUCAGUUUUCCAAUGCUGGCUCAGUUAAAAGUGUGCUCUCUCUUUCUGUCUGUCUGUCUGUCUCUCUCUCUCUCUCUCU